rnacentral:misc_RNA from 1 species
UACGGAGGGUGCGAGCGUUAAUCGGAAUUACUGGGCGUAAAGCGAGUGUAGGCGGCUUCGUAAGUCGGAUGUGAAAGCCCUGGGCUUAACCUGGGAAUGGCAUUCGAUACUGCGCGGCUAGAGUCUGAUAGAGGGAAGUGGAAUUCCAGGUGUAGCGGUGAAAUGCGUGGAUAUCUGGAGGAACACCAGUGGCGAAGGCGGCUUCCUGGAUCAAGACUGACGCUGAGGCUCGAAAACGUGGGGAGCAAACAGG